rnacentral:tRNA from 1 species
GCCCCCGUAGUCCAAUUGGCAGAGACGGGCGACUUAAAAUCGCUACAGGUCAGGGUUCGAGUCCCUGCGGGGCACCG